rnacentral:rRNA from 1 species
AUGUCUUCCACCUCCGGUGCAUCCCAAACCAACCUCAGCGGCCAAGUUACCGAGAAGUUAACCCGCACAAACUAUGUGCUAUGGCGCACGCAAGUCAUCCCUCAGCUUCGCGGCGCCGGCGUCUACAGCUACGUCGACGGCACUCAGCCGGAGCCGGAGAAACUCCUCGUCACCACCAAGGACGGUAAGGAGGUCUCAUCAUCGCCCAACCCUCUCCACCCAAUCUGGGUCCGGGAGGAUCAGCAGGUUUUGGGGUACCUGCUGAAUAACCUGACGCGUGAGGUGCUGCUCACGGUGACCACGGUCACCACCACGGGCGCGCUCUGGACGACGCUCGCUGUGAUGUUCUCGUCCCAAUCUGCCAGCCGCAUCAACAACAUACGCACGUCCCUCAUCAACGCGCAGAAGGGGAACCUCUCCAUCGCCUCCUACUUCGCCGCCAUGCGCGGCUACGCCGACGAACUGGCCGCCGCAGGCAAGGCGAUCCCCGACGACGAACUCGUCUCCUACAUCAUCCAUGGGCUCGACGCCGACUAUCAGCCCCUGGUUUCCGCCCUCGACGCUCGCGUCACCGGGGUAACCCUUGAUGAACUCUUUGCCAUGCUAUCCAACUUCGAUCAGCGCAUGGCUCACUUCCAGGGGACCGGCGGCGGCGGCUUCAAAUCUUCGGCGAACGCGGCCACUCGUGGGCGGGGCGGCGGCCCUUGCUCCCGUGGCUCUCCUCGCAACAAGGGCAGGUCCAGUGGUGGCGGCAACCGUGGCGCCACGCCACCUCAAUCUGGUGGCCGAGGCCGCCAUGGACGCGGAGCUGGCAGCAGCGGCAGGAACCGUCCGGACAGUCCUCGGUGCCAGAUCUGCGGCAAGCUCGGGCAUACAGCAAAGGACUGCUGGUACAGGUAUGAGGAGGAUGACUAUGAUUCACAAGAUGAAGAAAAGGUCGCUGCGACGGCUGAUGGCUCAUAUGGUGUCGACACGAACUGGUACGUCGACAGUGGUGCUACCAACCACAUCACCAACGAGCUCGAGAAAGUGACCAUGAAGGAGAAGUACCGUGGCAAGGAUCAAAUCCACACUUCCAGUGGAGAAGGUAUGAGUAUAAGUCACCUUGGUCAUUCAAUAUUUCGUACCCCUCAUCGCAACAUCCAUCUUAGAAAAAUUCUGCAUGUUCCUAGUGCGAACAAAAGUCUUCUUUCUGUCCAUAGAAUUGCCCUUGAUAAUCAUGUAUUCCUUGAAUUUCACCCUUACUUCUUUUUGAUCAAGGAUCAGGCAACGAGGACGGUUCUCUAUCGAGGUAGAUGCGUUGGUGGCCUCUAUCCGUUGAUCCCGGAGUUUAGAAGACCAAAAAAAUAUGCUUGUGGUGCUAUCAAUCUUUCAUCCACACGAUGGCAUGAUCGUUUAGGACAUGCAUCUUUUUCUUUAGUUGAAAAAUUGCUUAGGAAAAAUAAUCUCCCGUUUGUUGGUGAGCGUCAUAAUGAGACAAUUUGUGAUUCAUGUCAGAAAGCUAAAAGUCAUCAGUUGCCUUACCCUAUUUCCAGCAGUGUUUCUACCAAACCAUUACAAUUAAUUUUUUCUGAUGUUUGGGGUCCUGCUCCUACUUCUGUUGGUAGACACUCCUACUAUGUUAGCUUCAUUGAUGAUUUUAGCAAAUUCUCUUGGAUCUAUCUUUUAAAGAAACGAUCCGACGCGUUUCAAGUGUUCAAAAAUUUUCAAGCACUCGUUGAGCGAAAAUUUGACAGCAAAAUCAUCGCUGUCCAGUUAGACUGGGGAGGGGAAUACGAAAAGUUAAACUCCUUCUUCCAAACACUUGGUGUCUCCCAUCAAGUGUCAUGUCCUCAUGCUCACCAACAAAACGGGUCAGCGGAACGCAAGCAUCGACACAUUGUCGAAGUUGGUCUUGCUCUUCUUGCCGGUGCCUCCAUGCCUCUAAAGUUCUGGGAUGAAGCAUUUUUAACUGCAGUUCAUAUCAUCAACAUGCUCCCUAGUCGUGUCAUUCACAAUGAAACUCCAGUAGAAAGACUUCUCCACACCAAACCAGACUAUAAGUCCCUUCGUGUAUUUGGGUGUGCAUGUUGGCCCAACCUUCGUCCCUACAACAACCGAAAGCUCAUGUUUCGAUCAAAACAGUGUGUCUUCCUUGGUUAUAGUGCUCAGCACAAAGGGGUCAAGUGCCUAGAUGUUUCCACCAGACGAGUGUACAUCUCCCGUGAUGUCGUUUUUGAUGAAACUAAGUUUCCUUUUGCCGAUCUUCACCCCAACGCUGGUGCACUACUUCGAGAAGAAAUUCUCCUCCUACCCCCUCAUCUCACUAGUUUUGAUCAAGGGGGACAAAAUAUUGAUGAUCGUUCGCUAACUAACUCAUCUAAUGCCUUGCAUGAGCCUUGUGUUGAUGAAACAGGAGCAGGUUGUGAAGAAAAUAAUCAAAACAGGGAAAAAUUUGGGCCAUAUCUCAUGUGUCCCGUGGCAGGAGACCAAGCACCAGGAACCAGAUCCGCCUCGGGAUCGGCAGCGCAGCAGCAGAUCGUAUCCACCUAG